rnacentral:lncRNA from 1 species
AUGUAUUUUAUUAAAGUAAUUCUAGCAUUCAGUGUUAAAUAUUAUAUAUUUUUGAGUCCUUUUUUUUUUCUUUUUUUGGACACAGGGUCUCGCUCUGUCACCCAGGCUGGAAUGCAGUGGCUCAGUCAUGUCUCACUGCAGCUUCAACCUCCUAGGCUCAAGAAGUCAUCUCAUUUCAGCUUCCCGAGUAACUGGGACCACAGGAGCAGCAGGACAUUCGGUAAUGAGAAGAUGGAGAUAUCAUUCUUAUAUAAUGCUGCAAUCCGGAAGCAGCACUCUCAAAAAGGUAAGUUUUUUAGGUUAUUUUUAGUCUGGUUUACAAUUUUUAAAAAAAUCCUUCAUUGAACUUUGACUCUGCAGGUUCUAGAAAAUAGAAUAUUGUGGGCAAGACUGGCUUCAGAAGUUUUAUGGCUUAAUAGAAAAAGGUGGGCAGACCUGGUGAAAAUCUUUGCAGGGACAUACAUGCCUCUGAAGCCCAGUAUUUUGCCUCUCUCUCUCUUUUUUUUUUUUUUUUCCAGACAGGGUCCCGCUCUGUUGCCCAGGCUGGAGUGCAGUGGUGCGAUCUCGGCUGACUGUAACCUCCGCCCCCCAGGCCCAAGCAAUCCUCCUACCUCAGCUUCCUGAAUAGCUGGGACCACAGGCAUGUGCCAUCACACCUGGCUAAUUUUUUGUAUUUUUGGUAAAGACAGGGUUUUGCCAUGUUCCCUAGGCCAGUCUCAAACUCCUGAGCUCAGGCGAUCCACCCACAGCAGCCUUCCAAAGUGCUGGAAUUACAGGCAUGAGCCACCGUGCCCAGCCACUCUCAUUUUUUAAAAAACCAAAGAAAAUAAUCUUAAAUCAAUCUUGUACUUGUUUUAUGCACACCACUUUUGCUUGCUUCUUAAAGAGUAUAUGAUUAGCUAUACAAGUGACUUUAGGUUAAGAAAAUCCUUAGUCUUGAGAAAAGCACUGAAGAGGAAGGAGAAGAUGCCAGACCCCAAGACAUCCACCAAAAAUAGUUCAAAAUUAGAUUGUCUGGCAGGGCAAACAAUCCCAUCAGCUUCUGCCAGCCCCUAUAUUCUGGCUGGCCCCAGAAUUUAGUCAGGAUCGAACUAAAAUGUUUUGGUUUCUGGGGUGAGCCUUCAUCCAGGUCAAAAUAUUCUGGAAGAAGGCUCGCCUGGCACCUGGAAUUCACACCCUCGAGCUCUCCUUUUCACAGAACAGCUUUCGUCAGAUUUAUUGACAGCAUAGCGGGGCAUGAUUAACGUAUAAUCCAAUAGAGUUGAGCUUUUGACCUUGGCACUAUCGACAUUUGGGGCUAGCCAAUACCUUGCUGUGGCCCUCCUGUGCACUGUAGGAUGUUAUCAGCAUUCCUGGCCUCCACCUGCUAGAUGCCAGGAGCACCUCCGCCCCCACAGAAGUUGUGUUAACCAAAAUGUCUCCAGAUACUGCCAGAUGUCCCCUGGAGGGCAAAAUCAACUCUGGUUGACCACCACCGCAAUAGUAUUUUUUUUAAAUCAAAUAUAUGAAACAUAAAGAUUGCUAAGCAAUAUAGAUUAUUUCAGAUGUCCAGUCUUUUUUUUUUUUUUUUUUUUUUAAGAUGGAGUUCCUCUGUCACCAGGCUGGAGUGUAGUGGCAUGUUCUCAGCUCACUGCAACCUUCAACUCCCUGGUUCAAGUGAUUCUCCUGCCUCAGCCUCCUGAGUACCUGAGAUUACAGGCACGCACCACCAUGCCCAGCUAAUUUUGUGUAUUUUUAGUAGAGACAGAGUUUCACCGUGUUGGCCAGGAUGGUCUUGAACUCCCGACCUUGUGAUCUACCUGUCUCGGCCUCCCAAAGUGCUGGGAUUACAGGCGUGAGCCACUCCACACGGCCUAGAUGUCCAGUCUUAAAGGAAACCACUACUAUCAUCAUUAGCCAAAAAAAGAAAAAACAAACAGUGCUAAUAAUUAGAUAUAAAAUAAUCAAUGAAAACUAUCAUUGCCUUGAAAUAAUCCCUGGAGGAAAUGAAACAUCUGUAUAAAUUUUAUCCUUUCACGUGUGAAGAUGACUGGGAUAGCAGGUGUGGUAAAAUACAUUGUUCCAAAGCCUGUUCUGUGGUCUGCUGAUGAGAAUAUUCCCUGGAUUGGGCUACAGCUGCCAUGUGCAGUCUCUCUAUUGACAGUGUUUCUCAACCACUCCUGAAAAUCCCCACAUUGUUUGAACUCGAGUUUUGUAAUUACAGAGAUGUGGUUCUCAGAGCCAAAAAUGAAGCUGCCUGGCUGGAGCAGCAGGAUAUAGAAUAGGCCCUUGGGACUGGUAGAUUAUAACUUUUGUGGUUUCAAGUACUCAUAAAUGUGGUGGAGAGGGGUUUUGGAGAUGAUCCACAACUUGUCAGAGACCCUGCUAUUUUUUCUACCCACAGCCAUUGUAGAGAAUCCAAGCCGAGUUUAAGAGUGCUGUAGAAAUACACUGCUGCUACUGCUGUUUCUAUUAUUGUCUGAUGCUGGGACUCUUAUGCUCCAACCACGUUUUCACCCAGCUGAGUUGCCUUGUAUCACGCCUUUCCAGUGAGUAAGAUCAUCUGGAUAGAUUCUCCAAAAGAAAUAACCCAGUGAGGGAGGGGCAACCAGCAUGACCAUGAUGCUAGUUGUUGUGUGCGAAUGGUAAAAUGAAUGAAAUUAUGUGUGUGUGUGCACACUAGUCAUUAUAUGCAUGCAGACCCAUACAUAUGCAUAUGUAGUAUAAAUGAAUCUCCAUAAAUGCCUAAGGUGAUGGCAGUGAUGAGGGGCAGUUAAAAAUGUUAAGCACAAAUUGGAGCUGAGACACUGAUCAGAGAAAAAUUAUCCAUAAUACUGAGAAAGAGCCAUCUGUCAUGGCUGGAGGCUCAAGCAGAGAAGGGCUAAGUGGAGAGGCCCCGGGAACAGAUGGAGAGGCUUGAACCCCCACACAGAGCAGAGGGUCCAACAGCUGGGACUGAUUAAUCCAGACGGCUGACUAUUACAUCAUACGUUGGAUUACACCCAAGCGAGUGGCUAAAAGCUCCUAGCACGUUCAGGCCAACAUGGAGGCACUUCACAAAUGGCA